UCAGAGAAACCCUGGAAUUAACAAAAAAGGGCAAUCCUGAGCCAAAUCCUGUUUUCCGAAAACAAACAAAGGUUCAGAAAAAAAGGAUAGGUGCAGAGACU
rnacentral:ribozyme from 1 species